rnacentral:rRNA from 1 species
GCCGGUGAUUAUGGCGAAGGUGUUACACCCGAUCCCAUUCCGAACUCGGAAGUUAAGCCCUUCAGCGCCAAUGGUACUUAGUCUUAAGACUUGGAAGAGUAGGUCAUCGCCGGCA